CUGAUGCAGCAACGCCGCGUGAGGGAUGACGGCCUUCGGGUUGUAAACCUCUUUUAGUAGGGAAGAAGGGCUUCGGCUUGACGGUACCUGCAGAAAAAGCACCGGCUAACUACGUGCCAGCAGCCGCGGUAAUACGUAGGGUGCAAGCGUUGUCCGGAAUUAUUGGGCGUAAAGAGCUCGUAGGCGGUUUGUCGCGUCUGCUGUGAAAACCCGAGGCUCAACCUCGGGCCUGCAGUGGGUACGGGCAGACUAGAGUGCGGUAGGGGAGAAUGGAAUUCCUGGUGUAGCGGUGGAAUGCGCAGAUAUCAGGAGGAACACCGAUGGCGAAGGCAGUUCUCUGGGCCGUAACUGACGCUGAGGAGCGAAAGCGUGGGGAGCGAACAGGAUUAGAUACCCUGGUAGUCCACGCCGUAAACGUUGGGCGCUAGAUGUGGGGACCUUUCCACGGUUUCCGUGUCGCAGCUAACGCAUUAAGCGCCCCGCCUGGGGAGUACGGCCGCAAGGCUAAAACUCAAAGGAAUUGACGGGGGCCCGCACAAGCGGCGGAGCAUGCGGAUUAAUUCGAUGCAACGCGAAGAACCUUACCAAGGCUUGACAUAUACGAGAACGGGCCAGAAAUGGUCAACUCUUUGGAC
rnacentral:rRNA from 1 species